rnacentral:rRNA from 1 species
UACGUAGGGGGCAAGCGUUGUCCGGAAUUAUUGGGCGUAAAGAGCGUGUAGGCGGCCAGAUAAGUCCGCUGUGAAAACUCGGAGGCUCAACCUCGAGACGUCGAUGGAAACCAUCUGGCUAGAGUCCGGAAGAGGAGAGUGGAAUUCCUGGUGUAGCGGUGAAAUGCGCAGAUAUCAGGAAGAACACCUAUGGCGAAGGCAGCUCUCUGGGACGGUACUGACGCUGAGACGCGAAAGCGUGGGGAGCGAACAGG